rnacentral:rRNA from 1 species
CAGCCGUAAACUAUGCGCGUUAGGUGUACUGGUGACCACGAGUCACCGGGGUGCCGAAGGGAAACCGUGAAACGUGCCGCCUGGGAAGUACGGUCGCAAGGCUGAAACUUAAAGGAAUUGGCGGGGGGAGCACCACAACGGGUGGAGCCUGCGGUUUAAUUGGACUCAACGCCGGACAUCUCACCGGAUAAGACAGCUGAAUGAUUGUCAAUCUGAAGGUUUUUACAUGACUAGCUGAGAGGAGGUGCAUGGCGUCAGUGACU